AACAGAAAAUUUCGGAUUUGUUAGGGUGCUCUAAAAAUUCUGGACUUGUGAUAUGUUAUAGUACACUCAAUAAGCUUUCCAUAGACUCCGAAACGGACUAAAUCCGACAUCGGAGGAGCAAGUUAUGGGAUUUUUACCAAACUACACAAAGUUAAGAAAACUGUGAAAAGGACAGUUUUGGAGCAGUCACUUCCGGGCUAAAUUCCGGGAGCUAAACAUAUCCAAAUAUGGAUUGUGAUAUAUGAAAACUAUAGUUCGGAAAGAUACGAAUCCAACAAAAUUGACGGAUCAUUAAUCGGAGUUACAGAUUUCGUUUUAUUUAAGUUUUGGUGAAGGACUCCAAAACUGCCAAAGUGCAAAAAGUUUCUGGCCAAAAUUUUCCGAGGGCUGUUUUGGACAUUUAGUUAAUGAGAAAAAUUACAGGCUUUUGGGAAAUGAAAAUAUAUGGUAAUAUGUAGCUCGUGUCCAAAAAUGAGCUAAUUCCGGCUUAAAACGAC
rnacentral:lncRNA from 1 species